UCCAGACUCCUACGGGAGGCAGCAGUGAGGGAUAUUGGUCAAUGGGGGGAAACCCUGAACCAGCAACGCCGCGUGAGGGAAGACGGUUUUCGGAUUGUAAACCUCUGUCCUCUGUGAAGAUAAUGACGGUAGCAGAGGAGGAAGCUCCGGCUAACUACGUGCCAGCAGCCGCGGUAAUACGUAGGGAGCGAGCGUUGUCCGGAUUUACUGGGUGUAAAGGGUGCGUAGGCGGCCCUGCAAGUCAGAAGUGAAAUCCGGGGGCUCAACCCCCGAACUGCAUUUGAAACUGUAGGUCUUGAGUAUCGGAGAGGCAGGCGGAAUUCCUAGUGUAGCGGUGAAAUGCGUAGAUAUACGGAGGAACACCAGUGGCGAAGGCGGAUUGCUGGACAGUAACUGACGCUGAGGCGCGAAAGCGUGGGGAGCAAACAGGAUUAGAUACCCUGGUAAC
rnacentral:rRNA from 1 species